CCGAGGAGUCCUGGCCGUUCGCGAGUCGUAGGGGCCCCCUCUGACUAACCCCGAAGGCGUAGCGAAAGCGAGAGAGCGUGUCGGGGGGCGUCGAACGGGAGAGGUGUCGCGGCGAAGUCGUCGGGUUGGGAGCUCGUCUCCUCUUCUCGCCUCCGAGCCGUGCCCGAUCCCGCCGGCGCGGUGUUUCCGCCUUCCGUUGCCGUCGUCGCGUCGCCUGCACGUCCCCUCGGGGACGGAGGGCUUCGCGGCAGGCCGGCGGUCGUCUUCCCGUCUCCCCGAGAGGGGACCGGCGUGGAGUUGCGGGGCAUCAGCUUCCAUCCUCCGUCCGCCCAUCGGUGAGAUCCCGCGGCUUGAACUAGUCCUAUUUUGUCGUCGAGUUUAGGCACUGCGCGCGGGCGCAUCACCCCCGGGUCGGUUCCUUCUUACGAGUACGACUCGGCCGACUCUGGCGUAGCGAGCGACCAGGGACCCGAAAGAUGGCGAUCCACGCCCGGUCGGGAUGAAGCCAGAGGAAACUCUGGUGGAAGUCCGAAGCGCCUCUGACGUGCAAAUCGAUCGUCGGAACCGGGUGUAGGGGCGAAAGACCAAUCGAGCCGUCUA
rnacentral:rRNA from 1 species